rnacentral:rRNA from 1 species
GACGAACGCUGGCGGCGUGCCUAAUACAUGCAAGUAGAACGCACAGUUUAUACCGUAGCUUGCUACACCAUAAACUGUGAGUUGCGAACGGGUGAGUAACGCGUAGGUAACCUGCCUGGUAGCGGGUGAUAACUAUUGGAAACGAUAGCUAAUACCGCAUAAUAUUAAUUAUUGCAUGAUAAUUGAUUGAAAGAUGCAAUUGCAUCACUACCAGAUGGACCUGCGUUGUAUUAGCUAGUAGGUGAGGUAACGGCUCACCUAGGCGACGAUACAUAGCCGACCUGAGAGGGUGAUCGGCCACACUGGGACUGAGACACGGCCCAGACUCCUACGGGAGGCAGCAGUAGGGAAUCUUCGGCAAUGGACGAAAGUCUGACCGAGCAACGCCGCGUGAGUGAAGAAGGUUUUCGGAUCGUAAAGCUCUGUUGUAAGAGAAGAACGGGUGUGAGAGUGGAAAGUUCACACUGUGACGGUAUCUUACCAGAAAGGGACGGCUAACUACGU